UUCCAUUCUGCUCUUGACGAUUUCCAGGGUAGCUGAUUGCACGACCUCUGGAGGGAGCCUAUUCCAUAAUCUGGACACACUAGCUGUGAAGAUGUUUUCCUAAUGUUGAGCCUGAAAUGGUCUUCCAGGAGUUUGUGACCAUUUCUCCUGUUUUUUUCCCCAAGGGUACCCUGGUGAACUGUUGUUCACCGAGUCCUUGAUGCACCCCUGAUGUAGCGGUAAGCUGCUACCAAGUCCCCACUCAGACUUCUCUUCCUCAGGCUGAAGAUUCC